GCGCGGGGGCAACCCUGGCGGCGAGCGGCGGACGGGUGAGUAACGCGUAGGAAUCUACCCAGUAGCGGGGGAUAGCCCGGGGAAACUCGGAUUAAUACCGCAUACGCCCCACGGGGGAAAGCAGGGGAUCGCAAGACCUUGCACUAUUGGAAGAGCCUGCGUUGGAUUAGCUAGUUGGUAGGGUAAAGGCCUACCAAGGCGACGAUCCAUAACUGGUCUGAGAGGAUGAUCAGUCACACCGGAACUGAGACACGGUCCGGACUCCUACGGGAGGCAGCAGUGGGGAAUAUUGGACAAUGGGGGCAACCCUGAUCCAGCCAUGCCGCGUGUGUGAAGAAGGCCUUCGGGUUGUAAAGACUUUAAGUGGGGAGGAAGGGGUGAACGUUAAUACGGUUCAUCAUUGACGCUACCCACAGAAUAAGCACCGGCUAACUCUGUGCCAGCAGCCGCGGUAAUACAGAGGGUGCAAGCGUUAAUCGGAAUUACUGGGCGUAAAGCGCGCGUAGGCGGCUGAUUAAGUCGGGUGUGAAAGCCCCGGGCUCAACCUGGGAACUGCAUCCGAUACUGAUCGGCUAGAGUAUGAGAGAGGGAGGUAGAAUUCCACGUGUAGCGGUGAAAUGCGUAGAUAUGUGGAGGAAUACCGGUGGCGAAGGCGGCCUCCUGGUUCAAUACUGACGCUGA
rnacentral:rRNA from 1 species